GAUUGAGUGUUCCGGUGAAUUAUUCGGACUGUUCCGUGUCGCGGCAACGUGUGCGGAAUGGAAAGUUUUGCGAACCUUAACACUUAGAGGAAGGAGAAGUCGUAACAAGGUUUCCGUAGGUGAACCUGCGGAAGGAUC
rnacentral:rRNA from 1 species